rnacentral:lncRNA from 1 species
AAAAUUAAAAAAAUGCUUGAAAAAUGAGUAUCGGAACUCUUUUCCAAAGUCUUUCGGUACACAAAAAUUGACUACCGGAACUCUUUUCCAAAGUCUUUCGGUACACAAAAAUUAACUACCGGAACUCUUUUCCAAAGUCUUCCGGUAUACAAAAAAAAAUAGUAAAAAAAUGUUUGAAAAAUGAGUACCGGAACUCUUUUGCAAAGUCUUUCGGUACACAAAAAUUGACUACCAGAACUCCUU